CCUACGGGAGGCAGCAGUGGGGAAUAUUGGACAAUGGGCGAAAGCCUGAUCCAGCCAUGCCGCGUGUGUGAAGAAGGUCUUCGGAUUGUAAAGCACUUUAAGUUGGGAGGAAGGGCAGUAAGUUAAUACCUUGCUGUCUUGACGUUACCGACAGAAUAAGCACCGGCUAACUUCGUGCCAGCAGCCGCGGUAAUACGAAGGGUGCAAGCGUUAAUCGGAAUUACUGGGCGUAAAGCGCGCGUAGGUGGUUCGUUAAGUUGGAUGUGAAAGCCCCGGGCUCAACCUGGGAACUGCAUCCAAAACUGGCGAGCUAGAGUAUGGCAGAGGGUGGUGGAAUUUCCUGUGUAGCGGUGAAAUGCGUAGAUAUAGGAAGGAACACCAGUGGCGAAGGCGACCACCUGGGCUAAUACUGACACUGAGGUGCGAAAGCGUGGGGAGC
rnacentral:rRNA from 1 species